rnacentral:lncRNA from 1 species
GUUGAGCUGUUAUGCCGAAAAAUAACUUGGGCAGUGAUUAGAAAGAGAGAGGCUUGAGUGGGAACCCUAAUUCCAUUAUUGAAGAAGGUGCCGCCAUCUCCUUGCUUCAAAGGUUUCGGCUUUGGUAUCUCAUCUUCACAAAUUGAAUUUGGUUUUCCUCAGUGACGGCUUUCAAAAUUUACACUUGAUAUGAGCCCUUUUCUUUCUUCCUUUCUUUUUUUACUCUCUCCUUCCCCCAUUAUUAUUUUUUUCUGUAAAUCUAUUUUAUUUUUUUACUUUAAUCAACAUUUGCAUUCAAUAUUUUUCAUUUAACCAGAUUCUGUUCUUCUGUUCUUCUUUUAGGUCUGAAUAUUAAAGGUAUUGAAGUUUUGUUUUGUUUUUCUUUUAAGAUUUUUUUAUUGUCUUUGAAGUUCCUUUAUUUCGUCUUUAAAGCUCAUUUUCUGUGUGUUUGAAAAUUUUAAUUGCAUUCAAGUUUUGCCUUUUUCUUCAGUAAAAUUUGUGUUUCAGAAGAUUUUUCUCCUUCAUUCACACUAAAUAUAGACUCUUCUUUUAUCUAAACAGCUUUUUCGUUCAUUUUUUUGUUCUUUUAAUUAACAUUUCUUCAAUUCUUAAACAUCUUUUUGUCUAUUUUUGUAGAUUUUGUUUGAUGCGAACCAUUAUUUCCUAUAUGUUUAAUAUCUUAUUUAUUUUAGUAAAUUAGGUUUAAUUUUGUCUUUUUGUCAUCUAAGUUCUUAUGGAAGAUAAAUCAGUCUAUAUAAGGUGUCGAGUUAGCACUGAGUGUCAGCAGCAUAACUCAAAUCAUUGUAAAAUAUUUAAUUUAAUUUCAAAUUUUGUUAUUUUGUUUUUAAUUUUAGAUACAAAUUAUAUCACUAUUUUUAAAAUUAAAAGAAAAUUCAUCAUUAUUUUUAAAAUUAAAAAAAAAUCAUAAUUAUUUUUAAAAUUAGAAGACAAAUCAUCAUUAUUUUUAAAAUUAGAAUUAAAAUCAUUAUUAUUUUUAAAAUUAUAAGAAAAAUUCAAAAAUUAGAAGGAAAGUUUUAAUUUAUUUUUAAAAUUAAAAGUAAAAUUCUAAUUUAUUUUUAAAAUUAAAAAGAAAAUUCUUUAUUAAUUUUAAAAUUAGAAGAAUUUUUUUCAUUAUUUUUAAAUCAACUUUAACUCUAUUUUUUACUAAUAAAAAUUUAAACAUAAAUAUAAUAAUUAUAUUCCAAUAAUAUAAUUAGAAUUAAUUUAAAAAUAAUUAAAUAAAUAUUUAAUAAAAUUUAAAUUUGGUUUCAAUUUAAAAAGAUAUACAAUUGAGACUAAAUUGAUUAAAAUUAACAAAAAUUGAGAUUAAAUUAAAUAAAAUUAAUGAAAAUUAAAAUUGAAUGACAUAUUUAUACGUGGUAUUGACAUGUGACAUUAACACAUGGUAUAAAGAAGCCUUACAUCCGAACCCCCAACACGUGAGAGCUCUAGUACCAUCGUUUCUCGGUGUAAGGAAGUCGCAUUCCCCCAUAGAAGCCUUUUCCUAAUCUAAAAUCCUACUUUUGGGUGGGGAAGGGGUUGCCAUGUGGCAGUCCCUAAUUGACUGAUUUUAUCUGAUAAAAUAACCAAAUUCUGGUCAACUAAGGAACUAAAUUACAAUUAGAAAAAAAAAGAAAUUAAGGGAACUUUUAGGAGCUUUUAUGUAAUUUUGAAAACUUAAGAAGGACAUUAAUGAAAUAGAUAAUUCAGUUGAUAUUUUUAAGAUAAUUAAUUUAAUAUGAAAAUAUACCAACAGAAAAUGUCUUAUCAACAUAAUACUUAGAGUCCAAGUCCAAUAAAGUUUAUAUAAAGAGACUUAGGGGAGGAAGAAAUCAUAACUCAUUCAUUCACUCAGACUCUUCCAAUGGAAGCCAUCAUUCACCACUCCUCUCACUUUUAUUUUAUCAUGUAUUAUACUCCAUUCAUGGAGGGCUAAGCUUUUAAGGCUACUCCAUUGUAAUUUCAUUAUGGAUUCCGAGGUUAAGUUGAAUUAAUGAAUUUGUUUCUUAUGAUUAUUGAUUUUAGUUAUUCUUCUUCUAUGUCUUUCAUCUCUCAAUAAUGUUAAAAGUAAUUAUUUUUGCAUCAUAAGGUGUUUGAAUCUACAUGCAUGUUAAUCAUAUGAGUUCAAGGUUUUCUAUGUUUUAAUGAUAAUUUACUUUGAUUGAGUUUAGGAACCUUCAUAUGAUUAAACGUGUUCUUACUACUAAUUAAUAAUGUACUUUGAUUGGUGGUAAGAUUUUCAACUGUAAUUAAUUGAGAAUUUACUUUGAUUAAAUAUAUUUUAAUUUGGUCAAGGGAUAUAAGAAUAGACAUGAUUAAAUACAAUAGGAUUUGACUGAGAAUGUAUUUUGAUUGAAUUCAUUGUGAAUAAUAUAGGAAGGUCUUACAUUUGAUUGAGAAUCUACUUUGGUUAAUUGUAUGAUCGCCCUCAAGUGAGAAUAUACUUUAAUUAAUUUGAAACUCAAACAAUAAUCAAUUGAACAAUGAUUUGUGGAUAAUCGAUGAUGAAUCUAUCUUGGAAAAAUAGUGGAAUUAGUCUAUUUUAUUAUAGUUGCUUCAAAGUUUCUCAUUUGUUCUUCACUUAAACUCACAACAUUCUUGAACAUCAAGUUCAUUAGGCUAUAUUUUCAUUCUUAUUUUUAAGCAUUGCAUAGCAUUCACUAACUUUUUCAAAGCCUUCGUAAGAGUCAAAUAUUGAAAAGCAAUUACGUGUUCGUUGGGAAACGACUUAGGGUUACUUUAACCCUAUCCACUUUCUUGAUUACUAACAUGGCAAUACUGAAGUUACCGUGUAAAGUAGUUGUUAGAAGUGGACUUUAAGCCUAACCCAACCUCACAAACCAAUUUGUAAGGUGAGGUUUGCACCCACUUAUAUGCUAUGAAUUGGCCUUAUCUCUAGUCGAUGUGAGACUUCUAACACACCCCCUUCACAUCGAGGUAUAUACAUCUCAAGCGUGGGACUAGACAUUAAUGGGUGGUCCAAUAACGGCCCGAUAGCGGGUGGAACAAUAUGCCUAACAAACAACAAAUAUCGCUAGGAUAGGCUUUAACGACGACUCUGAUACCAUGUUAGAAGUGGACUUUAAGCCUUACUCAACCACACAAAACCAGCUUGUAAGGUGGGGUUUACACCCACUUAUAUAUUAUGAACUGACCUUAUCUCUAUUCGAUGUGGGACUUCCAACAAUAGUAUUAAUUUGGUAGCUUCAACAACAGCGUAUACUCUCUUGCUCAGUUAACGACGGGCUGACACCUAAAACAUCCUCUGCUCACACUAAACGAUGAUGAUUGCCAAAGAGAUUAUAGCACAAAGAGGCAUACAACACAAAAGUAAGGGUAAACUAGUAUACAAAUAAAUCAACAUAUUACAAUUUGAUAUGGGAAAUCAUAUCUCAACAUUCACAACAACUCAUCACACACUUAAUCAUAUCACAACUUAACUAAGGAUGACAACGGGUCGGGUCAGGCACGGAUAAUGCCUACCUGCAACCCGACCCGCUACUCGCACAGAUACCCGUAAAAAAUAUCCGCGGGUAUUUUAAAAUUCACGGAUACCCGCGGAUAUUCGUGAAUACCCGCAAAUAUUAAAAAAAAAUAUUUGUUUAUAAGUUAUUAAAAUAAAAUUUAAAUAGAAUUAUAAAAAAUAUAUAAAAUAUAAUAUAAAUAAUAUUAAAUAUAAAUUAAAUUCAAUUUUAAUUAAAUUUAACCUUGUAAAAUAUAAAUUAAUGUUAAUUUUAAUUAAAUUUAACUUAAUAAAAUAUAAAUUAAAUCUUUAUUUUUAUUUUUUGCGGGUAGCGGAUAUCUCGGGUACGAAUAGCAUAAUACACACCCGACCCGUUUAUAAGCAAGUAUUAAAAUAUCCGCUACCCACAGGUUGCGGGUAGUAAAUAUCCAUGGGUAUCAACUAUCCGUCGCAGAUUUUAUCUGCGGAUAUCAACGAGUGCAGAUUUUUUUGCACCCAUGCUAGUAUUUAUACUCUGUAGAGUCAUAAAUGAGGGUCAAAUGACCUACUUCCCCAUGAGUUUAGUCUUCCCUUACACGACAAAGGGCUAGGGUAAAAACCUCCUAUCAUUUUCUCCAUCACCCCAUUCACUCUACAUGAGUUGAAUGAUUAGUAGAAUAUCAGGAUAUUUUCUCUUCAAAGUCUCACUAUUAAGCAGUCACCACAACUCUCAUAUAAUCAUUCCUUAAGAUUCCUCUCACAUCACCCAUCUAUCAUUCUCACAACAUACUCAUCAUCAUCAUAUUCAUCAACCAUAAACAUACCCAUAAACAGGUUCACAAAUCAUAAAUAUAUGUAUACACAUCUCCAUUAAUCACCUCAUAAUCAUCAUCAUUAUCAUCACAUACUCAAGGUGUUCCAAGUAUAAAAUCAUUUAUAAAAAUUUGGAAAUAAUAAUUACACAAUAGUACAUUUUUCUUCAUGGUAGCUUGAGUCCCACACUAGACAUGAAAAAUAGCCUUAAAACCCUCACCAAAAGCUCUGGAAGGGUCUAAAACCCCCAAAACGACCUAAAGAACGUCCAAAACGAAUGUCUGAAACCCUAAAUUCGAGAUUCCCCACAACAUAGUUUCUGUUAGACAACUCCGCACCAGACUACUUACUAGUCAAUCUUUUACCAGAUGACCCCUUAUUAGACGAUCUCUUACCAGACUACUCCUUGCUAAACGAUCUCUUACCAGACGACUCCUUAUUAGACGACUCUUACCAAUACGAUCUCUUACUAGACGACCCCUUACUAGAUGCUCUCUUACCCAGACAAUCUACCAUAUUUUUGUACAAUAAAAGACCAAAUAGGCGCUAAAUGAGCCCAAGACAAUUCCAAAAACUGUAAACUUCCCCUUAAACCAUGAUCUCAUAUUCUUACUUGUUAAAAACUCAAUUUUUUUGUCCAAAACUCACCCUUUUACUACUUUAUUUCUUACCCAAGUUCUGUAAAAACAUAUCAGCUCAAACUCACUAAAUCCACAUUCACAAAUCCAUCAAUAAACAAAUUUUAACAACAAUAAACCAAACACCCCAACAUACAUUAGUUCUCAAUUUAAUUAAACCCUAAACCCUAAACCCAACAUACCAAAUUUCACGAUUUAAUUAAAGUUCAUAAAUCAAUCAUCACAUCAUCAUACAAACAUCAAAUAUCACAUGCAUAACAAAUCCAAAACCAAACAAACUAGCUUCCCUUAUAUAGUUGAUGCUUUGAUAGUUUCAAGAACUCUAAAAUUUCUCCUACGACUUCAAUAUCUAUAUUUGCCCCUACAAUUCAUGGCAAUUUGAUCAAAGUAUACCCUUAAUAACACUAAUCAACAAAGAGUCUUGAAGAAGACUUAGACAUAAAAAAAG